CNCAUCAGGAAGUGCUGGAGGACGUGGC
rnacentral:piRNA from 1 species